UACAGAGGUCCCGAGCGUUGUUCGGAUUCACUGGGCGUAAAGGGUGCGUAGGUGGUCGGUUAAGUCUGACGUGAAAUCUCUGAGCCUAACUCAGAAACUGCGUCGGAAACUAUCCGGCUUGAGGAUUGGAGGGGGGACUGGAAUACUUGGUGUAGCAGUGAAAUGCGUAGAUAUCAAGUGGAACACCAGUGGCGAAGGCGAGUCCCUGGACAAUUCCUGACACUGAGGCACGAAAGCUAGGGGAGCAAACAGG
rnacentral:rRNA from 1 species